rnacentral:rRNA from 1 species
UACGAAGGGGGCUAGCGUUGCUCGGAAUCACUGGGCGUAAAGCGCACGUAGGCGGCUUGUUAAGUCAGGGGUGAAAUCCUGGAGCUCAACUCCAGAACUGCCUUUGAUACUGGCGAGCUUGAGUCCGGGAGAGGUGAGUGGAACUGCGAGUGUAGAGGUGAAAUUCGUAGAUAUUCGCAAGAACACCAGUGGCGAAGGCGGCUCACUGGCCCGGUACUGACGCUGAGGUGCGAAAGCGUGGGGAGCAAACGGG